rnacentral:rRNA from 1 species
AUGCAGGCUCCGCGGGCUCCAGUCCUCGUGCAAAACGAGAACUUGCCCAUCUUCCGAGGCGUUGAUGGGAAGAAGGCCGGGGUGGCGCGCGGGCCUGCCGCGAGGGCGGGGCGGAGAGCCCUGGGAGACCUCGGCAGAGCCGGCAAAGCUCCGCCGGCCGGCGCCGCCGGGAAGGCCGCCGCCGCAGCAGCAGCAGUGAGCGUGCAGGGGUUGAAGGGCGUUGCGAAACCGAGCUCUCUGAGCGACGGGGACUGGGUGAAAUGCUGCGAGUGGGCUAAGGGUGGCAUUGAGACUGCGAGUUUCACCGGGAAUGAUAUGCAGAGACUGAUGGCCGAUGAGCAAGAAGAGCGCAUACGAAAGAAGGUGGAGAAGGCAAUGGCCACUUUGCAAGUCUCCAUGAACAGUAUUUAUGACAUCAAUGUACCAUCGAAGAUAUCCCUGGACGAUCCAGAUGAUGAAACAACAUUGGAGCUUGAUCCUGAGUUCCUUCCUCCAACGGCGUACUUAAGCUCAAGACUAGGUGAGCAUGAUGGCAACUAUCUCCUUUCUGAUUUGGAAUUUGAGCAUGACCCUUUUUCUGGUUGCAAUUUUGACCUGAAGCUCAAGGAUGACUACUGA